CAUCUAGAAGUGUGAUGGCCGUA
rnacentral:siRNA from 1 species